ACACACAGAAACACACAAUGCACCCCUUACACACACUCAAUGCACCCCUUACACACGCACACACUGCAUCCUGUACAUACACAGAAACACACCUUGCAGGCCUUACACAUACAAACACAGAUUCACACAAUGCAUUCCUUACACACAUAUCAGGACAUCCCCUACACACUCCACCCCCUGUGAACAAACUCAUUGGUGGAACAUGAAGGUGG